rnacentral:lncRNA from 1 species
AGUCUGUGGCAGAGCUCGAACAGACCGGGCUCUAACCCUGGGGGGGCCAUGUGGCUGGCAACAUGAGAAAACCAGUGGAGGAGUUCAGACAAACAUGCCGGCCUUUGUCGCCCAGCAGCUGGAGAAAAAAAGCCUUUUACUCCAGGGGGAAGGAAUGGUAGGAGCUGGGAUUCAGGAAGUACAACGCCAGGUAAACUUGAUUCUACAGGAAAGAAGGAAGGACUCUGAACAUGAAAGAGCUGGGGUGUUUUUUCUGUCCCCACCCCCGUUAUUGUGCUCUUUGGCUAAAGUGUGUUGCUUAUAUAACAGGAUAAAGCACAAAAUUAUAAGCUUCAAACUGCUCCAGAGAAAAGCUCUUCCAAAGUUUGACCCCCCAGGAUGGGCGGAAAAUAUGAGUGUUUACUGGCUGGGACAUGGAGCUGCAACGGAAAUUUCAACAUUUAGAAGACAGCAGAGAGGAAGGGCCUGCUGUGGAGAAAGAAGUCGCCCUUCAACAAAGGGGUCAGGAAAGGAAGAGCUCCUUGCUGUCCCAGCUCUGCUCCCUUCUGUCCUCAGGUCCUCAGCGGGGAAAGGUGGACUCCCUGCGGUCCAGCGCCACAAGUGCCAUGCACGCACGCACGCACAGGUGCAGUGGCCAGUUUUACAGCAACGGGUCACUCAGCCAAGUGGUGUAGUUACACUGCAUCUCAGCUUUCCAGUCUUUUUCAGAACGAGCAGAAGGAAAUCAUUGCAAUAAAACAGAUCUGAGCAUCAAUACUGGUCCUGGAACUACCUUGUUUUACCCAGGGAAGCCUGAGGACAAGGCAGUCUCCCAGCACUGGGUGAGACCUUCAUAAAUGCUAC